UGUUGGAAAUUGUUGUAUAAUCCCCAUAUCUGUAAGAAAAGUAUAUUAUAGAAUCAUUUAGGUUGAAAAAGAUCUCUAAGAUCAUCAAGUCCAACUGUUACUCCUGUAGCUGCCCCAGGCACAUUUUUUCUGCAUUUAAUUCCAACUGACACUUUCUGUAUUUUUAGUGUCACAGGUAUAAUAUCAUGCAUUUUAAUGGAGCUGCCUCCAUCCUGUAGCAGUAUUAGUAGGGAUUAAGCAUUAUUCUAUGUUUUUGUAGUUUCCUGUAACCUCACAUGAACCAUAUUGACUGUGGCUGGCUGUAGUUUUUAUUGUACUGAACUCCUUGCCAGCACAGCUUGUAAACUCAGACUACUUUUUGUAGACAUACUUUGAAAAGGCAGAGCCAGUCUGGUCCCUGUACCGUAAGGUGUACCUACCAUUGGCCUAGAGCUCCCUCUGCAGUUCAGUUGGGCAUUUCCAAAGGGGAUAGAAGCAUCUGUAUGGUUCAUUCUUCCGCUGCUACAUCCAAUUGAAACCAGCUUUACCAGAAAAGGCUUAAAAGCUGAGUUUCUCAGGAUUUUGGACCCAUCUUUCUUCCUUAUCAUUCCUGUGUUUUGGUGCAAAGAAAACAGUCAGCAUCCAGGACUGCUUCCUGCCUCAGAAUUAAAAUUCUUUUCUACUUGCAAGCAA